rnacentral:rRNA from 1 species
GACAGAGGGGGCAAGCGUUGCUCGGAAUUACUGGGCGUAAAGGGCGCGUAGGCGGUCUGGCAAGUCGGUCGUGAAAUCCUUCGGCUCAACCGAAGAACGUCGAUCGAUACUGCUGUUCUUGAGGGUUGCAGAGGAGACUGGAAUUCCCGGUGUAGCGGUGAAAUGUGUAGAGAUCGGGAGGAACACCAGAGGCGAAGGCGGCCUACUGGGCCAGUACUGACGCUGAGCCGCGAAAGCCAGGGGAGCGAACGGG